GGUUGGUUUGAAUAUCCGCCAUAUCUAUUGGUUCAAUUAGCUAGCUUAGACUUUGUGAAAUAACCACUAAAUUUAACCUUAUAUCCUUCAAUCCAAAUGUGACUCCAUCUAGAAACCUUAUCAAAUCUCAAUCAGCUUAUAACUACUCAUAAUUAAAAAUAAUCAUGGCUCUUACAACUUUGAUGUUUAGGUCAAUGCUUAGGUUUCUAACAACGUUAAUUGGUGAACCUACUACUUCAAUCCCAACUUUGCUAUACUAUAGUGGUCUUUUGCCUCACAAUGUUGUUCUAUUGAGAAUGGUUCGACACGAGUUGCUCCAUCAAGAAAACUACCUCUUUCAUUUUCUCAUUAGCUUAAUGAGUUGUUUUUUGUGAACUAAUUGGUACAAUAUUUUAAUAAUUUUUAAUCUCCAUUUAGUAGGUUUGUUAAACUAAGUUGAGAGUGGUGUCUUCAUUUUUUUUUUUAAUUUCAGUUGUUGAGAUCAAAGAUAUAUAUGCAAUUGUAAACUUAAUUAGGAUGAGGUAUGUUUUUUCCUUCCAUAGGAAAGCAUAUGGAGAAAGAAAAUAAUAUUGGAAAUUAAUUUUGAAUUUAUCGGUUAUUUU